UGGGGAAUAUUGCACAAUGGGCGAAAGCCUGAUGCAGCGACGCCGCGUGAGGGAUGACGGCCUUCGGGUUGUAAACCUCUUUCAGCAGGGACGAAGCGCAAGUGACGGUACCUGCAGAAGAAGCACCGGCUAACUACGUGCCAGCAGCCGCGGUAAUACGUAGGGUUCAAGCGUUGUCCGGAAUUACUGGGCGGAAAGAGUUCGUAGGCGGUUUGUCGCUUCGUUUGUGAAAACCAGGAGCUGAACUGCUGGCUUGCAGGCGAUACGGGCAGACUUGAGUACUGCAGGGGAGACUGGAAUUCCUGGUGUAGCGGUGAAAUGCGCAGAUAUCAGGAGGAACACCGGUGGCGAAGGCGGGUCUCUGGGCAGUAACUGACGCUGAGGAACGAAAGCGUGGGUAGCGAACAGG
rnacentral:rRNA from 1 species